AGUGAACGCUGGCGGUAGGCCUAACACAUGCAAGUCGAACGGCAGCACAGUAAGAGCUUGCUCUUACGGGUGGCGAGUGGCGGACGGGUGAGGAAUACAUCGGAAGCUACUUUUUCGUGGGGGAUAACGUAGGGAAACUUACGCUAAUACCGCAUACGACCUACGGGUGAAAGCAGGGGAUCUUCGGACCUUGCGCGAUUGAAUGAGCCGAUGUCGGAUUAGCUAGUUGGCGGGGUAAAGGCCCACCAAGGCGACGAUCCGUAGCUGGUCUGAGAGGAUGAUCAGCCACACUAGAACUGAGACACGGUCCAGACUCCUACGGGAGGCAGCAGUGGGGAAUAUUGGACAAUGGGCGCAAGCCUGAUCCAGCCAUACCGCGUGGGUGAAGAAGGCCUUCGGGUUGUAAAGCCCUUUUGUUGGGAAAGAAAAGCAGCAGGUUAAUACCCCGCUGUUCUGACGGUACCCAAAGAAUAAGCACCGGCUAACUUCGUG
rnacentral:rRNA from 1 species